rnacentral:rRNA from 1 species
UGGGGAAUUUUGGACAAUGGGGGCAACCCUGAUCCAGCAAUGCCGCGUGUGUGAAGAAGGCCUUCGGGUUGUAAAGCACUUUUGUCCGGGAAGAAAUCGCACCUGAUAAUACCGGGUGUGGAUGACGGUACCGGAAGAAUAAGGACCGGCUAACUACGUGCCAGCAGCCGCGGUAAUACGUAGGGUCCAAGCGUUAAUCGGAAUUACUGGGCGUAAAGCGUGCGCAGGCGGUUGUGCAAGACCGAUGUGAAAUCCCCGGGCUUAACCUGGGAAUUGCAUUGGUGACUGCACGGCUAGAGUGUGUCAGAGGGGGGUAGAAUUCCACGUGUAGCAGUGAAAUGCGUAGAGAUGUGGAGGAAUACCGAUGGCGAAGGCAGCCCCCUGGGAUAACACUGACGCUCGUGCACGAAAGCGUGGGGAGCAAACAGG